GGCCUGUUAGCUCAGUUGGUUAGAGCGUGUGCUCUGAACAACAAGGUUGCUGGUUCGAUUCCCACAUGGGCCA